GCCGGAGUGGCGGAACUGGUAGACGCGCCGGAUUCAAAAUCCGGUGAGGGCGACCUUGUGAGAGUUCGAGUCUCUCCUCCGGCA
rnacentral:tRNA from 1 species